GGGCCCUUAGCUCAAUGAUGAGCAUUUGAUUGCAAAUCAAGAGGUCAUCGGUUCGAACCCGGUAGGGCCCU